rnacentral:rRNA from 1 species
UCCUGGUCGGACAUCAGGAGGUUAGUGCAAUGGCAUAAGCCAGCUUGACUGCGAGCGUGACGGCGCGAGCAGGUGCGAAAGCAGGUCAUAGUGAUCCGGUGGUUCUGAAUGGAAGGGCCAUCGCUCAACGGAUAAAAGGUACUCCGGGGAUAACAGGCUGAUACCGCCCAAGAGUUCAUAUCGACGGCGGUGUUUGGCACCUCGAUGUCGGCUCAUCACAUCCUGGGGCUGAAGUAGGUCCCAAGGGUAUGGCUGUUCGCCAUUUAAAGUGGUACGCGAGCUGGGUUUAGAACGUCGUGAGACAGUUCGGUCCCUAUCUGCCGUGGGCGCUGGAGAACUGAGGGGGGCUGCUCCUAGUACGAGAGGACCGGAGUGGACGCAUCACUGGUGUUCGGGUUGUCAUGCCAAUGGCACUGCCCGGUAGCUAAAUGCGGAAGAGAUAAGUGCUGAAAGCAUCUAAGCACGAAACUUGCCCCGAGAUGAGUUCUCCCUGACCCUUUAAGGGUCCUGAAGGAACGUUGAAGACGACGA